AAGAAUUGAAGAGAUCGGAGACAAUCAACGAGAACAGCAUAAGCAGAUAAGAGCCGCUUUAGAAAAUGAAGAAAAUGAUAUCAAAGGACUCAUAAAACGGGUAAAUGAGAUGGAUGGAUCCACCCAAAGGACAAG